GUGGGGAAUAUUGGACAAUGGGCGCAAGCCUGAUCCAGCAAUGCCGCGUGAGUGAAGAAGGCCUUAGGGUUGUAAAGCUCUUUCGGCGGGGACGAUGAUGACGGUACCCGCAGAAGAAGCCCCGGCUAACUCCGUGCCAGCAGCCGCGGUAAUACGGAGGGGGCUAGCGUUGUUCGGAAUUACUGGGCGUAAAGGGCGCGUAGGCGGCGCGAUAAGUUGGGCGUGAAAGGCCCGGGCUCAACCCGGGGACUGCGCUUGAUACUGUCGUGCUGUGAGUCCGGGAGAGGAUGGCGGAAUUCCCAGUGUAGAGGUGAAAUUCGUAGAUAUUGGGAAGAACACCGGUGGCGAAGGCGGCCAUCUGGACCGGCACUGACGCUGAGGCGCGAAAGCGUGGGGAGCAAACAGGAUUAGAAACCCCUGUAGUCC
rnacentral:rRNA from 1 species